AUGGCCGUGCAUCAGAUGCUGCUGCACAGGUUAUGCAUGUUUUCAUCCGCUUCUCCUUCACUCUGGGGAAUAGGUGCUGUUGGCUUCCCAUGCCAUGGUCGGUUCUCUAAAUACAUGCCCAGUGUCAAGGUUGUUGUGUUUUUCGGCAGUCUGUCUAUCAAGAAGGAUGAAGAGGUGCUGAAGAAGAACUGCCUACAUAUCAUCGUGGGGACUCCAGGCCGUAUCCUAGCCCUGGCUCAAAAUAAGAGCCUCAACCUCAAACACAUUAAACACUUUAUUUCGAAUGAAUGUGAUAAGAUGUUUGAACAGCUCAACAUGUGUUGGGAUGUCCAGGAAAUUUUUUGCAUGACUGCACAAUGAGAAGCCAGUCAUGAUGUUCAGGGCUACCUGGAGCAAAGAGAUCUGUCCAGUCUGCCACAAGUUCAUGCGAGAUCCAAUGGAGAUCUUUGUGGAUAAUGAGAUGAAGUUGAUGCUGCAUGGGUUGCAGCAGUACUUCGUGAAACUGAAGUACAACCAGAAGAACUGGAAGCUCUUUGACCUUCUGAACGUCCUUGAGUUCAACCAGCUGAGGAUCUUUGUGAAGUCUGUGCAGCAGCACAUUGCUUUGGCCCAGCUACUGGUGGAGCAGAACUUCCCAGCCAUUGCCAUCCGCCGUGGGAUGCCCCAGGGGCAGAGGCUUUAUCAGUAUCAGCAGUUUAAAUAUUUUCAGUGGUGAAUUCUUGUGGCUACCAACCUACUUGGCCGAGGAAUGGACAUUGAGCAGGUGAACAUUGCUUUUAAUGAAGACAUGCCUGAGGAUUCUGACAGCUACCUGCAUUGGGUGGCCAGAGCCGGCUGGUUUGGCACCAAGGGCUUGGCUAUCACAUUUGUGUCCGAUGAGAAUGAUGCCAAGAUCCUCAGUGACAUGCAGGCUCACUUUGAGGUCAAUCGCAGUGAGUUGACUGAUGAGAGAGACAUCUCCUCCUACUUUGAACGACAUGGUAGAGGACUCCCCCACUGCAAAAUGUGACCAUCUGUCCUUCAGGAGAGGACACAUCAGGGUAGGAGUAAAGGAGACACCAGUGGCCCCACCCCUGACAGCUCCCACCCCAUGGCUUCCUUCUUUUGCCUCACCACCACCCCUGAACCCUCAUUUCUGAUUUGUCAGAAAUUUUUUUAUCAAAACUAAAGACAAAAUAUAUACGUAUAUAUAUUAUAUAU